rnacentral:rRNA from 1 species
UAGGGAAUCUUCCACAAUGGGCGAAAGCCUGAUGGAGCAACGCCGCGUGUGUGAUGAAGGGUUUCGGCUCGUAAAACACUGUUGUAAGAGAAGAAUGACAUUGAGAGUAACUGUUCAAUGUGUGACGGUAUCUUACCAGAAAGGAACGGCUAAAUACGUGCCAGCAGCCGCGGUAAUACGUAUGUUCCAAGCGUUAUCCGGAUUUAUUGGGCGUAAAGCGAGCGCAGACGGUUAUUUAAGUCUGAAGUGAAAGCCCUCAGCUAAACUGAGGAAUUGCUUUGGAAACUGGAUGACUUGAGUGCAGUAGAGGAAAGUGGAACUCCAUGUGUAGCGGUGAAAUGCGUAGAUAUAUGGAAGAACACCAGUGGCGAAGGCGGCUUUCUGGACUGUAACUGACGUUGAGGCUCGAAAGUGUGGGUAGCAAACAGG